CCUACGGGUGGCAGCAGUAGGGAAUCUUCCACAAUGGGCGAAAGCCUGAUGGAGCAACGCCGCGUGGGUGAAGAAGGUCUUCGGAUCGUAAAACCCUGUUGUUAGAGAAGAAAGUGCGUGAGAGUAACUGUUCACGUUUCGACGGUACCUAACCAGAAAGCCACGGCUAACUACGUGCCAGCAGCCGCGGUAAUACGUAGGUGGCUAGCGUUAUCCGGAUUUAUUGGGCGUAAAGGGAUCGUAGGCGGUCUGUAAAGUCUGAUGUGAAAGCCUCGGGCUUAACCGGGGUAGUGCAUUGGAAACUGGGAAACUUGAGUGCGGGAGAGGAGAGUGGAACUCCAGGUGUAGCGGUGAAAUGCGUAGAUAUCUGGAAGAACACCAGUGGCGAAGGCGGCUCUCUGGUCCGUAACUGACGCUGAGGUGCGAAAGCGUGGGUAGCAAACAGGAUUAGAUACCCGAGUAGUC
rnacentral:rRNA from 1 species